CACAAGAACUUCCAAACGCCUGAACUGCAGCAGCCAGGCGUUCCUCCAGAACCUCCUCCCCCAGGAGCUUGCUACGAGUGCCAGAAAUCUGACCACCAGGCCAAGGAAUGCCUGCAACCCGGGAUUUCUCCUAAGCCACGUCCCAUCUGUGUGGGACCCCACUGGAAAUCGGACUGUCCAACUCACCUGGCAGCCACUCCCAGAGCCCCUGGAACUCUGGCCCAAGGCUCUCUGACUGACUCCUUCCCAGGUCUUCUUGGCUUAGUGCCUGAAGACUGACGCUGCCCUAUCGCCUCCGAAGCCCCCUAGACCAUCACGGACACCGAGCUUCGGGUAACUCUCACAGUGGAAGACGCACAUGAAACCACCUACGACCUCAGGUCCUCAGACCGAUGAGCCCAAGAAACAUCUCACCAAUUUCAAAUGCGGUUCCCACGCCGCCGCAAUCCCGCUUGAAGCAGCCCUAAGAAACAUCGCCCAUUCUCUCUCUCCAUACCACCCCCCCAAAAUUUUCACCACUCCAACACUUCAACACUAUUUUGUUUCAUUUUUCUUAUUAAUAUAAGAAGGCAGGAAUGUCAGGCCUCUGAGCCCAAGGCAAGCCAUCGCAUCCCCUGUGACUUGCACCUAUAUGCCCAGAUGGCCUGAAGUAACUGAAGAAUCACAAAAGAAGUGAAAACGCCCUGCCCCGCCUUAACUGAUGACAUUCCACCACAAAAGAAGUGAAAAUGGCCGGUCCUUGCCUUAAGUGAUGACAUUACCUUGUGAAAGUCCUUUUCCUGGCUCAAA